UAACCUCUAAGGCCCAAGAACAAGGGAUCCUCUCCUCUUCCUGUAGCCUAAAGGAAAGGAGCAUAGACUGGCUAUCACUCCAAAAUUCAGACCAGCAUGAGGACAUGGAGCAGUAGCAUGGAAAUGCAUGUGAAUGAUGAGAGGAUAGUUCUCAUAGAAGCUGGAGAUAUGCCACGGCCCUGGGGAGCCGCUAUGACCUUGAGCCUCUUCAUAGCGGUGUUAGGGAAAGAAAAGGCCUCUGAGGAGCAGACACAAGAAGGCACACCGAGGCUGAAUGAUGUACAGAAGACACAAAGGUCUGGAAGGGAGGAGACCCUGCACAGCAUAUCCUUACCUGUGCCCACUGCCUUAGCAACAGCUGCUUUUUCUCCUAGUCAGGGAUACUAGGAUGGAUUAGCUCUCCUAUGGUUCAGUAGAGUGAAACAUUUUCAUAUUUGUCAGCCCCUGAAUCCAACCAGAUGGAGAACAGACACUCCUCAAGUAGAAAAAGUGGAGGAAAUAUAUUUAUUGAUUAAAAAUAUGAAACACAUCAGAUUU
rnacentral:lncRNA from 1 species